AGAUGGUGCGGUCAUUGACACUUUCACAAUGACCUCAAUAUGGAAAAGAAAUUUCAGAAAAAUCCGCAUUGAUCCAAUGGCACACAAAGUCAUAGUGGGAAUUGUGAAUGACAACCAUCACUGGAUGUUGGUGGUGAUGUACCCACAUGAAAAAAAGAAGCCUUUUCUUGGAUCCACUUGGGGAAUCCAAAGGCAAGAUCAAAAAGUGCCUGGAGUCAACAAG